rnacentral:rRNA from 1 species
UUACCUGAACUUGACUGAUCUUUAGAAGCUAAGAAGGAUUGUGCCUGGUUAGUACUUGGAUGGGGAAUUGCCUAAGAGUUCCAGGACUUUUGGUAGA